GCGGACGGGUGAGUAAUGUCUGGGAAACUGCCUGAUGGAGGGGGAUAACUACUGGAAACGGUGGCUAAUACCGCAUAACGUCGCAAGACCAAAGAGGGGGACCUUCGGGCCUCUUGCCAUCAGAUGUGCCCAGAUGGGAUUAGCUUGUUGGUGAGGUAACGGCUCACCAAGGCGACGAUCCCUAGCUGGUCUGAGAGGAUGACCAGCCACACUGGAACUGAGACACGGUCCAGACUCCUACGGGAGGCAGCAGUGGGGAAUAUUGCACAAUGGGCGCAAGCCUGAUGCAGCCAUGCCGCGUGUAUGAAGAAGGCCUUCGGGUUGUAAAGUACUUUCAGCGGGGAGGAAGGUGUUGUGGUUAAUAACCGCAGCAAUUGACGUUACCCGCAGAAGAAGCACCGGCUAACUCCGUGCCAGCAGCCGCGGUAAUACGGAGGGUGCAAGCGUUAAUCGGAAUUACUGGGCGUAAAGCGCACGCAGGCGGUCUGUCAAGUCGGAUGUGAAAUCCCCGGGCUCAACCUGGGAACUGCAUUCGAAACUGGCAGGCUUGAGUCUUGUAGAGGGGGGUAGAAUUCCAGGUGUAGCGGUGAAAUGCGUAGAGAUCUGGAGGAAUACCGGUGGCGAAGGCGGCCCCCUGGACAAAGACUGACGCUCAGGUGCGAAAGCGUGGGGAGCAAACAGGAUUAGAUACCCUGGUAGUCCACGCCGUAAACGAUGUCUACUUGGAGGUUGUGCCCUUGAGGCGUGGCUUCCGGAGCUAACGCGUUAAGUAGACCGCCUGGGGAGUACGGCCGCAAGGUUAAAACUCAAAUGAAUUGACGGGGGCCCGCACAAGCGGUGGAGCAUGUGGUUUAAUUCGAUGCAACGCGAAGAACCUUACCUGGUCUUGACAUCCACAGAAGAAUCCAGAGAUGGAUUUGUGCCUUCGGGAACUGUGAGACAGGUGCUGCAUGGCUGUCGUCAGCUCGUGUUGUGAAAUGUUGGGUUAAGUCCCGCAACGAGCGCAACCCUUAUCCUUUGUUGCCAGCGGUUAGGCCGGGAACUCAAAGGAGACUGCCAGUGAUAAACUGGAGGAAGGUGGGGAUGACGUCAAGUCAUCAUGGCCCUUACGACCAGGGCUACACACGUGCUACAAUGGCGCAUACAAAGAGAAGCGACCUCGCGAGAGCAAGCGGACCUCAUAAAGUGCGUCGUAGUCCGGAUUGGAGUCUGCAACUCGACUCCAUGAAGUCGGAAUCGCUAGUAAUCGUGGAUCAGAAUGCCACGGUGAAUACGUUCCCGGGCCUUGUACACACCGCCCGUCACACCAUGGGAGUGGGUUGCAAAAGAAGUAGGUAGCUUAACCUUCGGGAGGGCGCUUACCACUUUGUGAUUCAUGACUGGGGUGAAGUCGUAACAAGGUAACCGUAGGGGAACCUGCGGUUGGAUCACCUCCUUACCUUAAAGAA
rnacentral:rRNA from 2 species